AAGAGGUUAGACUGAGAACAGACCCAAAUAUAAAUAUUAAUGUAUGAAUAAACUCUUAUUUUUUAACUGAAAUCUCUGUGUCUGUGUGAUAGGGAGAAUCAGGUAUUGACAACAACAUCCCAGGAGCCAAAGGAGACCCAGGGAACCCAGGUUUACCGGGUUCACCUGGACCAGAUGCGCGGCCAGGAGAGGGUGGGGUCCCUGGAAACCCAGCUGCUUAGGGUCCAGAUGGAAGAAGGGGUGCUGCUGGUGUGAAGGUAGGAGUAACUUGAUGCUGUUGGUGAAACUUUAUGACUAUUGUUUUAUUGUACUCUUUCACCUCAUUUUUGCAGGGAUCAUCUGGUGAACCAGGAGCUCCAGGAGUCCGAGGCAGCCCCGGUGCUGCUGGUCCUCAGGGACGCAGAGGAGCCAAUGGUCAACCAGGUCCAAAAGGAAUCUCUGGACUUCCUGGACCUCAG
rnacentral:lncRNA from 1 species